rnacentral:rRNA from 1 species
UACAGAGGGCUCUAGCGUUGUUCGGAUUCAUUGGGCGUAAAGGGUGCGUAGGUGGCAUGGUAAGUCGGAUGUGAAAUCCCGGGGCUCAACCCCGGAACUGCAUUCGAUACUGCUGCGCUAGAGUACUGGAGAGGAGAUUGGAAUUUACGGUGUAGCAGUGAAAUGCGUAGAUAUCGUAAGGAAGACCAGUGGCGAAGGCGGAUCUCUGGACAGUUACUGACACUGAGGCACGAAGGCCAGGGGAGCAAACGGG